rfam:Homo sapiens chromosome 10, GRCh38 reference primary assembly.
AGAAAUAUGUCCGAUAAAAGAGUUACAUUGAUAGAAUAAAUAAUAGAGGUUUAAAUCCUCUUAUUUCUA